GAGUAGAGGUUGCGUUGAUCAAGAGUAGUCAAACCGGAUGUGGCAGGCACAGGCGAAGGUUUGGGAAAGGGAGAGACGCCGAAGAGGGGAUGCGCCUGUAUCGCAUGCUGCUCUGGGUAUAUGGCGAACAGCCAUAUAACUGUCAUCCGAAGCGGAUGGUGAGCUACCUG
rnacentral:ncRNA from 1 species